UAUGUAAAUCUGCAAUGAACUGAAAUGAUCUCUGCAUUUCUUGAUAUAAUAGACCUACAUUUGUUUACCAGUAUCAAGAUUUAGCAUUUAGUUGAGGUACUAUGCCUUUUAUGUUCUAGAUCUGAUUUAAAUUCAGACUGCUGAACAUAAGAAGAGAUCACUCAUAAUUUAAUUUUCUGGGCUCGGCCGUGUCGCUCCGUAAAAUACGUCCCUUUUAGCAAUCCCUUUUUUUUUUUUAACUAUGUCUUACACGAUUCAUGAAGGAAAAACAUUUGUUAUCCUCAGGUGAGAAUUUAUCAUAGCUGGACAGAGAGAAUGGUCAGAAUAAACUGGUUAAAGUUUCUACUUUUGUGGUAAUUAUUUCAGGUCUGAUUACAUGCCAAACUGCUUUUAUGCCAUUAAAUUUCUGGCUUAAUCAGGUUCUUACAUAAACUGAGAAGUAGCUUCUUCUUGAUGGUAAAAAAAAGUGUCUAUUAGAAUUUUUUUUAAUACUAUCCCUCUGCAUGUUUCUGGUGAAGUACAGGCUAUGUAGCUUUUUGGUAAACUAUAGUCAGAGUUGGCUUUGCAGUGAAUUUACUUCAAUGUAAUCCAACCUUUGCCACUAGGAUUCCUUAUCACUGAAAAAUCAUGUCUAGAUCUGGGUAGUUUUAAGCUAUGUCUAGUGGUUUCACCGUCCUUUUCUAUUAGUUUUAUCAUGAUAGGUAAAUUUUUUUUUAUUCUUUUAUUUCUUUUGUAUUUGUGGGAAUUAAUGUUCUUUUCCACGAGGCUUAAUAUUGGAAGGCAGAAUGUUUCUCUUCAUGGUAGACUUUAUCUAUUAUUCUAAUACACUAUUCUAAUAUUUUAUCCGAGUCACUUACCAGAUGAUUAUACGUUUGCUGUAUUUGUACAGUAUUUUUAGUACGUACUUCAUGAAUGGCCUGCUGGCCUGGGUACAUUAUAGUAUAUUUGUUUCAUGUCAAUAUCAUUCUGGUUCUAGAGAAGAUAUUCAUGUUCUUUAAGUACAGAUGCCCCUUGAACUUUGUGGGGAUUAGGGGUAUCAGCUCCCCACAAAAAUUUAAAAUCCUUGAAUAACUCUUGAUCCCACGAUCUUAAGUCUUAAAACUGUACGUUGUAUUGUUGGUCAUAAACUUUAUCAGUAUUUAACAUUUUAAAGAUGAUUAUUUACCAAAUUAUUUAUAUUAUAUGCACAGAACGAUAUGCCCCGUUUGGGUUACAGUACUGUCUAGUAGUAAGUGUACUAGUAUAUAGAGAGAGGGAUAAUAGUAUACAAAUAUUGUACCUGGACUACAAUACUUCAAUAUAUGUAAUAUUGAAACAGUACCAUUAAAAAGGAUUACUUUAAUUUUAAAAAUUGUGUAACUUUAUACAUUGUGAAUACUGUAUAUGCUAAAAGGAACCACUUCUUGAUAAUUGUUUCACACAAUUACUCAGCAGUUUUGGUUGAUGAUGAAAAUGAUGACCUAACUCAAACAUGCUGAUGUAGUUCUUGCUGUAAAGUUAUUACACUUACAUAAAUACACACACACACACACAUACAUACAUAUGGAUGCAGGUCAUUGGGAUGUUCAUGUUGUUCAAUACAUUCUAUGAAAAGGAAAAGGAGUGACUGGUCUCAGAUUCUCUCUGAUAGAAUGGGUGGAAAAAGAGGUAGGGAUUCUGGGUUUUACCUCUGGGAUAUACAUAGAGAUUUUUGUAAUGCUUUCUUGCUGUAUCAUUUCUUUGAAAAAUAUUUUUUUUAGUGUAACUGUAUUUUUUGCAAUUUCCUUUGCUUUCAGGUCAUGUAUGAUUGACUUGUCAGUAGUAUAGUAUCAUUGCUAUAAUCCAUGAGAGUGGGUAACCAAUGAAAUCCUGCUGCAGUAUUAUACAUCAUAAACUUACCUGGCACCGUUUCUUCUGUAUCUUCUAGUACAUAAUAUAGUAUCUGUUGGGUUUAGCCCCACCAAGUGAGUUGUAAUCUUAAAGUUCUGUAAGAUGCAUAGCUUAUACCCUUUCCAACACAACUUAUCUGUAAUAAAUAUUUCUUUGAUUAUUUCUUACAUAGGCUCCUUGUUAAAUCCUGUGAAGCUAUUGACACUUUAUGGCCGAAGUUUUACCUGGCAUGAGGCUUGAUUUCUUGGCUUUUUUUUUUAAUGUUACUUUUGGCAUCAGCAAUUUUAUAAAUUUCCACAUCUGCAUUACAUUUUCCUUAGUGGGGGUUAUUUUCCUUAGCCUAAACAAUACAUAGAAUACAGAGAGUAAUGGGCCUUAAACCUUAUGGGUACUCUCAGUGUCAGAGAAUAAUAGACAACUUUGAUGUCUCCAGUCUGGUACAUGUGUAAUUCUAAGUUGCCAGGUCCAUUUUGCAGUGUCAAUAAGGCCCUAAAAGUCAGUUGAGUACUGUUAGGGUUUUUUCCGACUUUCUGGACAAAGCAUUAAUGAAGCUACUUAUAGAAAUGUGUUCGGGUAUUCCAUGCCUUCUUUUGAGGGUGUCAGAGAUGUGUAUUUCUGGUAAUAUAAGUUCAUUCUUGACGUGGUUCGGGAGUCACAUAAAGCCGUUGGUCCUGUUGCUGAAUAACCACUGGUUCCAUUCAACGUAAAAACACCAUACAAACAAACAAACAAACAAAUCUAUGCCUUCUUGUUAUGUAUCCAAAAGACUAGUGGUUAGCAUUUAUUUUUUCCAAGGCUUGGAGGUUAGCAGCUCUUAUAAAUUAGAGUGCUCUAAUCAUAAACCCAAUGGUAUUAGCACAAAGUAGCAGUGUUAAUUGCUUUUGUCUUAAACCUGGUGCUCAGUUCUCAUCUUGGCUAAGUAAUGUCUUCUGUGGUAUUUCUUCGCAGAACAGAGUGCUUUAAUUCAUUAAUGAAUACGUACCUGCUCCAGUAAAUAUUUUAGCUCCUUUACAAAUUUUUUUAUGGUGUUACAGUGAGAACAGGAGAUAACUCAGUGACCUUGCUAAUGCAGAUGCAGUUGUAAGCACAGUAGAAGAGUCAGGGUGGCUAUGGUCAUGGGUGACUGUAGGCCUAUGCAAUAACAUUUUGUUUUUUGAGAUGAUUCAGUGACAACCCAAGUUUGAGUAACUCCAUCUAUAAAAGCGUAGGUUCGUAUGUUAGGAAAAAAUACAAAGUACUGUAGACUUUGGUAUUUUUAUGAAGUAACUCACAAUCAGCUUGAUGAUGUACUAAUGGGCAACUGUAGCAUUUGAGUCCACAGAACAUAGAAAGUCUAGCAAUACAGUCGUUUCUUUGGCAUUUAUUUAACACUUUUAGCAGCUCUUGAAGCUUUGCACUUUGAGUAAAUUCAAAAUUUUACUGCUGUACCACACUAAAGGUACAAGAAACACAAAAACUAUUAAUCACUGCAUGUGACAAAGGUGAGUGAGUUGAGUCUUGGAGUUGAGACAAAUGACUUUAAUCCCCCAACAAAUCACACUUCUGCUGUAUUCCUGUGAAAUGUAACAUGUAAAAAAAUUCACAAAUCUUAAAUAAAGUAAGUAACAUUGUUAGUAAAUGAGGCAAUAGUAUUUUAAAUAUUUACAGCAUUUUUGGUUACCUCUACUUUUCCAACCUGGUGGGCAUUGUGUGAAACAUUAGCUUUGUUUACAUUUUUCUCAGCCAUGGACGGCAAUGUUCGCGGUUUGUAUGUGAAUGUGUUAAUAUUUUAUUCUAUUAUUGUGACAGUGAUUUUUAUAUAAACUAUAUAACUAAAAAAGAUUAAUAUAUAUAUGUUUUAUGCAUUGAUUGCUUACUAAACUGUUUUCAGUUUUCUUAUCAUCUCUAGAUUACACAAGUUAUCUUUGGUUAUAUGCAAAUAAUUGCAAAACUCCAAAACCCCCUUUAAUUAUUGAUGAAAAUUCUUCAAGUACGUAUAAUCAAAUCCAUAUGAGCAAUAUCAUGAAAAAGUCAUGUUUAGAGCAACGUUGUUUGUACAUAUAACACAGUGCCAGGUCACAUGAUAAGUUAUUUGGAGAUGGUGGUUCUGUUUUGUAGGAUGCUUCUGUAUCACAAGUAGGAUUUCUGAAAGUAUCAGUGUUACUGCCAGGCUGAAGUUGAUGAACAUAAGUACUAAUCAUCUAGCACUAGAUGAAGUUGCAAGGGCAGUUUGAAUAAAAUGAUUAAGUUAUGUGAAUAUUAAGGAUAAGUUAUGUGAAUAUUAUCCUUAAUAUUCGCAAAGUGCAUGGUAGCUACACACACUGUGGUCUAAAGUUUGUAUGCCAUUUAUUAUUUACAGUUCCUAUCACAGUGAUAGGCCCCGUGACCCUCGGUAUUCGCUAUUCGCAGGGGAUAGGGACCACAACUCCCCACAAAUUGCUAAUAUCCUCGAAUACUUGGCACCCCUCUAAAAAUACUUAUAACUUCCCAUUCUGAAAGUUCAAACACUAAAAACUCCCUCUGAAAAGUUUACAAUUGCCCAUUUUAAUAGUGUUAUCAUGAAAGAUGUAUUUAGUAAUGAAAAUAUGAAAAUACAGUAAUUAGUGAUUACUAUUUCUCUAUGAAAACUACUGCAAAUAGAUGAAUUUUCCACAAGUGAUGUGGAUACACGUUCCUCAGAAAAAUCUGCAAAUGGGGAAAGCCACGAAUCCAGAACCGCAAAUUGCUGGGGGUCGACUGUAUAGCUCUAGUUUUAUUUUAUUACUGGCAGAAGGAUUGUCAUUGUGUAAUUAGUAAGUUCAGACUUUUUUGAACCAGUUUGUUAGCCUCUUGUAAUAUGGUGAUUUAUUUCCCUUUUCUCCAUUUCAUUGAGGACACUUAUUCCACCCAUCAGCUCAUACUAGAGGGUAACAUUGCCUCAGUAUGCUGUCAGAUUUGCGUUGUGGGGUUUCCUUCCUUGAUAGGUGAUAGUUGCUGAUAUAAAGAUCUGGCUAACCCCUAUGAUCUUAGUAUUACUAUACUAAAAGACAUCAGGUGUUUGAAAGAAUUUAAUUACAUAUUAGGAUUGGACUUAAAUUUUUAUACUGUAUUUUUAGAUUUUAUCUCUACCAUAGUUAUGUAACAAUUAAGCUAUUGCUAUGUAACAUUCAUGCAGUGUGUUUAUAAUUAUGAUUAUCAUCUGCUCAGAUAGUUAUUUUAUGUAGAAAAUCAAAUUUAAUCACAUAUUAUCAACUAGUUUUUUUUUAUUAUGAUAGCGUUUGAUGAACCUCAGGAGCUUAAUAUCCCAAAGUUAUUUCCCUAUACAUAUCUUAUUUUUCAAAUGUUCUGAUGACAGGUUUACAAAUAAGUGAUCUUCAUGGAUUCAUAUGCUACAUGAGUCCCUUAUUCUCUUUUUAUGACAUUACUAUUGACAGGCCUCAAGGGAUUAUAUGCCUGAAAAGAAGUGCAUCUAUUUGCUUAUGUUGUAAUAAUAAGAUAUUUUGUAUUUUGAUGAAAGAAAGAAUCACUAACACAGGUUAAAAAGAAGAAAGAAUCACGAACACAGGUUAAAAAGAAUCACAAGCCCAGGCUGGUUUUUACAGAAUACAUACUGUAAAAGAGGCUGUAAAACCCUUUAAUAAAGGGCAUGAAUAAAUGUAAAAAAAAAAAAGUUCAUGGCAUGUGUACAGUAAUUAGUUACAGCUUUAGUCAUCCUACUCAGUUGUCCUACUUUGUGGUCUGCCUGCAAUCUCCCACCCCCCCCUUCCCCAUUUGAUAAAGUAUAAAUUUGAUUCAUUGGCUGUGCAGCUAUUCUUUGGGAUAUUUAGUUUAGACAGCUUGUGGAUAUGGUUAUUACAAAUGAUAAGUUUCCUUAUUCGGUACAAAAUGUUCUCAUUUCCUUUCAUCGCCAAACACUAUGGUAUAAAUGGCACAAAUAGUUUUACAAUUCUAAAAUGCUGUAGUGUACCUUGGCAAAUUGAUGUGUUUUGGGAAAAAGGUGAUUUACUUUUAUGUACGUACUAUAAUAUCAUCUCACUGAAGGAAUUUUACAGAUUUUUCAUGCUACUCCGUUACAGUGUUUAAUGUAAGGGCCUGAAUCACAUUUAAUCUAUGUGCACUAUGUGUGUAUAACAGAGAAUAGAGUGAUUUUCAAGAUUGUUAUUUAAAAUCAUAUAUAUUCAGAAAUCAUUAGUAUUCUAAUUUACACUAAAAAAAAACAGCUGCCUGUGAAAUUCAAAAGCUUUCCUUUUAAAAUUCAUUGCUUUGCAGAACUAUAUGCAAUACCCUGUCUAAAAUACUCAAAGUAUUUUGAAUAGACAAGCAAUUAAUUUUUAGUCUUAUUCUGCUGGCCAUAAGGAUUUGCUCAUUAAUGAGGGGGAAAUUUCAUCCAUAAAACAUUGAAGGAGUGCGACAAAAAGAAAAGGAAUAGAAACUGGUGCUAGAGGGGACCCUUAUUGAAUAGUACCUCAAAGAACCUUUUAUGGUCUUUCCUUUAGUAUUGGGAAUUUUUUAUUUUGACAGUGACCUAUUUCAGUGUAUGGUUAUUAUAACUGGUUGUGAAGACUUAAGAGAUGGUUUACUCUGUGAGUUGCCCUGCACUUUAUUUCAUAUUUUGGAAAAUCAGAAUAAUUUUCUUGAGGAAGUUAAAUCUGCAUAAAUUGGUGUUCUCAUAUACUAUUUAUUUUUCUGAAUAUUAGUAACAAAUUUUUUCUUGUGCUCUCUUUACUAUAGGGUGAUUGGUGAUUAAGAACUUAAUACAGUAUUGUUAGAAAGAAGCUGGAUACUGUAAUUAGAGCUAUUGAUUGGUUGACCUGAUAAAAGUCUAUGGUUGUGAAGAUGGAAAGCAAAGCGCUGAAAGGGGAGAAGAGGGAGGCAAAUGCUACUUCUGUGGAGGGUAAAACCAACAUAUGUAGAAUAUGCCAUAAAAGAUAUGAUGAUAGUACUACUCUGAUGACCCAUGUAGAAAGCCACCUUAAAAAGAAUUACACAUGUCUAAUUUGUGAGGAAGAAUUUCUUCUCAAAUCUGGUCUUCAGAAACACAUGGAAAGUCACAGUGACUUGGUGUAUGUCUGUAUAUUAUGCAGCAAAACAUUUAGGAGAGAAGCCUCGCUUAGUCUUCAUUUGGAUUGGCACACGGGCUUCAAAUAAUAUCUGUAUUCUGUGGAGGGACGUUAAGGAAGAGGAAAGUUUUUAUUUGUUGGUAGUAAUGCUUUGAAUUUGCAAAGUAAUUGAUAUAUGUUUCUCAUUUGAAAAAUAUUGGCUGAGAGAUUAGCCUGUUAUGGGUGGAAAAUUAUGAGUAGCUAAAUCUCAGCCUUUACUUGGAUUAUGGGUACCUAGAAUAAUAACUUGCAUUUUUGUUUUUGGAAUCAUUGAUGUCUUGAUGUACGCUACUAAGGUAAAAAAAAACAUUUAGCAUAUGUUAUAUGUGCUUAUGAAGAGCUAUUCCUUCAUGUUUGGUAUUUAGUCAGUCAACAAGUUCACACAACCAUAAAAAAACUUAGAAAAAGUCUUUUGUGCUUGUUUAUCACCUUUUCUGCCUUUGAAUUGUUUAUAAAAAUAACCACUAUUAAAAGCCCUCAGAGCAGAAUGAGUAUGGAGUCUCAUUGGAGUAAGGGUGUUGUAUUUUUGAUAGGAAAUGAGGAAGAGAUGAAUGUCUAGUCAUACUGGUAAACAUUACAAGAAGAGAUAGCAGUUUUUCUUUUAUAUUAAGCUAUGUUCUUAGAGCAGGAUCUAUAAGUAGAAUUUGACACUCAAAAGGACUAGAAAAUGCCAGAAUAAAUAUAAAAAAUGUGAAUGGUUCAUGAGAAAAGACUGAAAAAGACUGGUUAUUAUUUUGUUGAAUAUACCAAAAUGGAGAAAUAUGUUUCACGUUAAAAUAAUUUUGUCAGAGGCAUAUUGAAAAUAUUCUCAAUUAAGGAGCCUAAAAAGCAUUAAAUGAUGCAAACAAGAAAUUGCAAAAAUACAUGAUGAUUUUUCAGUAAUACUGAUAUACUUUUUGUUGUUCAGAAUGAAUUGGGGCUACAUAGUCUGUGGCCAGAAAAACCAAGGAGGUUGAUAUGACUAGGAAAAUGGAUGAACACAAUAAAAUAAUAAAAUUUGUUGAUACUGAGGCUGGGCUUGCUUUGCGGAUGGUAUGUUUCUGCAACUGUUACAAAGUUAGACUGCAAUAUGCAGAGUGGGAACAAAGUAUUAAUUUAUAUUUCUUGGAUUAUUUAGCUUAUGAUUGACGCUUGGCCAAUCUGUAUAUUAAAUACUGUAUGCUGACUUUCAUAUGAAGGAAUUUAUGAAAUAUAAUUUCUUAGGAGGUGCAGUAUUUAAAUAUGUGCCUAAAUUUUGUUAAGUGAAAUCAGUACACUUUGUAUUACUAAUGUAUAGGAACUGUUGCUCAAAUGACUUAUUUGAAGAAAAGUUAAUAAUGUACUACAAUAUAUACGAAUACUCUUAUGUAUAAAAGAAAAAGUACACUCCAGAUUAAACCCUCUAUAUUUACAAUAUUCAAAACGUUGUGAUGAGUCUGUCAGACACUAUUCAAAAGUAAGUGAUAAUCUAGUUUAAGUUGUGAAACUGUUCCCCAAUUCAUGGUCCUCUUUCAGGGACAUUUAUUGAAAAUUAUUUUACUGAUUUUGGGAGACAAUUUUAGUUCACUGAGCAAAUGACUGUAUACGUACAUACACAUUUUUUGUUUGAACUCGAGGCAAGAUAAAGCUCAUUCAUUCUUAUUUUUUUCAUUCGGGAUAAAAGACAUGUUUCCUAUCCUGUAUUAUUUUGUAUCCCUGACAAGUUGUAAAGAACGUGUAUCAUGCAGUGAGUUAUAAUUUGUAUUAAAAUUUUCUUUGGAUACCUCUUA